UACGAAGGGUGCAAGCGUUAAUCGGAAUUACUGGGCGUAAAGGGUGCGUAGGCGGUUCGUUAAGUCUGUCGUGAAAUCCCCGGGCUCAACCUGGGAAUGGCGAUGGAUACAGGCGAGCUAGAGUGUGUCAGAGGAUGGUGGAAUUCCCGGUGUAGCGGUGAAAUGCGUAGAGAUCGGGAGGAACAUCAGUGGCGAAGGCGGCCAUCUGGGACAACACUGACGCUGAAGCACGAAAGCGUGGGGAGCAAACAGG
rnacentral:rRNA from 1 species